UACAGAGGUCUCAAGCGUUGUUCGGAUUCAUUGGGCGUAAAGGGUGCGUAGGCGGCUUAGAAAGUCAGGUGUGAAACCUCCAGGCUUAACCUGGAGACGCCACUUGAUACUUCUAUGGCUUGAGUUCGGUAGGGGACCAUGGAAUUCCUGGUGUAGCGGUGAAAUGCGCAGAUAUCAGGAGGAACACCGAUGGCGAAGGCAGCUCGCUGGGACGGUACUGACGCUGAGACGCGAAAGCGUGGGGAGCAAACAGG
rnacentral:rRNA from 1 species